GGCGGCGACGCAAGACGGUCACCGGUUGGCUCAUAACCCAGAGGUCGCAGGUUCGAAUCCUGUCCCCGCUA
rnacentral:tRNA from 1 species